rnacentral:lncRNA from 1 species
UCUGCUCUAGCUGGAGAAGAGUCCUGCAGGGAUCCUGGCUGGGGAAGGUGCAGGGGGCCUGGGAGACCGCCUCUCCCAGGCAGUGACACCCUCACCCUUCAGUCUUCCCCACCCACCCUCCCCUGCAGAGGGUGGCAGCCCCAGGCUCUUUGCAUAAUCCUGUGGCUUCGCUGUCUUCACCCAGCACCAGCGGACAGGGAAGGGCAGAGAAGGCCGCCAUGGCGACACUCCUCUCCCAUCUGCAGCAGCGCCCUCCCCUCUUGCGCCAGGCCAUCAAGAUAAGGCGUCGCAGAGUCAAAGAUCUGCAGGAUCCUCUGCCCCAAACGGCCCCGGAGGUAGGAGUGACCUCACCGGCGAGAGAGCCAGCCUGGGGGAGCACUGCGGUCUCGGUGUGGGUGCCCUGCUGUCUGGCCCCACCUCUGAAAGGCUGAGACUGAGGACCAGGGACCCUCCCUGCCUGCCCCUCCCUGGGCAGAGCCUCGUGGGCCACAGAGCAGGGGCUGCCAGGUGUCCUCUGGGCCACUGUGGAGAGGCCCUGCGGUCUGAGCCUCUCUGAACCCCUCCUCUGGUGGGCCUGACUCCCCAUCCCCUGCUCCUCCAGCUCCAGAGGCACCAACUCUGUUAGGUGGGGGCAUCCCGGGUAUGGGGUGAGCUGUUCAGGGAGCAGCAGACCCCGAGGCCGGGGCGGCACCCCCCUCACCUCCGCUGCUGAGCCUCACUUCCGCAGCUGGGUGAGGAGCAGCCGCCACCGAUAAAAGCUGUUUCCUCUGGGGAAGGGAGGGAGGUAGGGUGUGGGUGUGGAGGCCUCGCGCUACUGGGCGCCCAUGGACCUCAGCCACAGCAGGCCAGGGGACGGACCCCCAGGAAGCCUGCUGGGGGAACAGGUGCGGGCGUCGGUGGGGCUGGAGGCCAGGGUGCUGGGGCCCCAUGCCCUUGGCCUGGUUCAGGCCUCGGAGGAGCCUUUCCUGCCCAACCUGAGGCUGCUCUGGGCCUCCCCGGACACUGUGCAUUUCCACCUUGCUCUGUAGAUCCAGCCUCCGUCCCACCACUUCUCCCCGGAGCAGGUGACCCUGUGUGUCUCAGCGGGCCCUGCUCUAUGAGGAAGCGCUCUACACGGUCCUGCACCGCCUGGGUCAGCCUGAGCCCAACCAUGUGACGGAGGCCUCUGAGCUGCUGCGAUACCU